UAUGUUGGAAUGGUCUCUUGCUGUUCCUUUUUCAUGUGGAGAAAGCUGAAGAAGUGGUUAAAAUUUUAUUAUAUUUUGCUUUGACCUAAUACUUUGACAGAGAUCAUCAACUGCAGUUGCAAAAUCCAUCAUGAUAUUUGCUGUAAACAGGAUAUCUAAUUCAGCUGGAGCAUCUCCAUAAAGAUUGUUCUAGGCCUCUCUGGGGAUCUUCAAUGUCCCAGGGCAAACUCUUCACUGUCAACUCUUUUCUGAAUAUAUGUUACCAUCUCACAGAACACAGUUUGGAGAAUACUGG
rnacentral:lncRNA from 1 species